GUCGUUAUCGUAUAGUGGUAAAUAUUCCCGUCUGUAAUGCGGGUUACCCGGGUUCGAUUCCCGACAGCGGUG